AUGACGAGCUUGCUUGUCUCAGAGAGAAACCCAAAUCCCCUCCUCACCCGCACCACACCAUUGGAUUCCCCACUCCACGAGCUUCCCGUCGACCCCAGUCUCGUCCACACGCAUUUAUCUGCUCUGCUCUCCAGGGUCACUGCCACCACACGAAAGCGAGGGGAAAAAAAGAAAUCAUCUGUCGUCUCCAUGAGCGGCGCCGGUUCGGGUGCGGCGCCGCUGGAGUUCCCCUCUGCGGAGUGGCGGCGCGUCUACGACCGGCUCAUGGGGUUGCUGCCGCGGGUCGAGGAGCUCGCCGCCGACCGCGCGCGCCUGGAGGAAAUCAACAGGCUGUCGGAGGCCCGCGAGAAGAGCCUCCGUGCCCGCCUCCUCCAGGCGGAGGCGAGCAGGGAGAGGUGGAAGACGGCCUACACGGAGCUGCCUCCAGGUGCUAAUCCCAAGCUUGCCGAACUUCAAAAGAGGGACUUGGUGGAUUCCGAAGCCUGUGAAGCUCUCUCUGACCCUGAUAUCUCUCAACUCAAGCAGGUGACUAAUGAGGAUACUAAUGAGAUGGAUCUUGAACAGUGCACGAUGCAGAUCUUUGUCAAAAUAAACUGUUCAAAUUUUCGCAAAAAAAGAAAGAUCCACUGUUUAAAGACUAUCACUCUUGAGGUCAUGGGAUCAGAUACGAUCUAUGAUGUCAAGGAUAAGAUUCGAGACAAGGAGGGCAUCCCUGAAGGCCAGCAGAGACUCAUGUUUGGCAGUGAGCUGCUGAUGGACAGCGGCACCCUGGAGUACUACAACAUCGAGGAAGAGUCCACGCUCACCCUUGACCUUGUCCCCCGAGGGAUGCAUAUCUUUGUCAAGACACUGGCUAACAAGAUCAUGACUAUUGAGGUUGGGGGAGAAGAUAGCAUAUACAUUGUGAAGGCAAAGGUCUUCGAUGAAACCGGCAUUUGCCCAGGCAGACAACGUCUCAUCUUUGCUGGGAACGAGCUGGAGGAUGGCUGCACCUUGGCUGACUACAACGUGCAAAAUGAAUCUACACUUCAUAUUGUGUUCUGCUUGGCGUGUCAGAGAGAUGGGAUGCACAUUUUUGUCAAGACACUGACUGGCAAGAUCAUGGCUAUUGAUGUUGAGGGAGAAGAUAGUCUAUACAGUGUGAAGGCAAAGAUUUUUGAUGAAACCGGCAUUCCCCCAGGCAGACAGCGUCUCAUCUUUGCUGGGAAGCAGCUGGAGGAUGGCCGCACCUUGGCUGACUACAAUGUGCACAACGAAUGUACCAUUCAUCUUGUGGUGUUUCACGGCCUCACGUGUCAGAGAAGUGGGAUGCACAUGCACAUCAUUAUCAGGGGACUGACUGACAAGAUCAUGACUGCUGUGGCUGAGGGUGAAGAUACCAUAUAUAGUCUGAAGGUAAAGGUUUCCGCUGAAACCGGCGUUCCCCCGGACAGACAGACUCUCAUCUUUGCUGGGAAUGUGCUGGAGGAUGGCCGCACCUUGGCUGACUACGACGUGCAACAUGCAUCUACCCUUCAUGUUGUGUUGCGCGGCGUCACGAGGCAGAGAGGUGGGAUGCGCAUAUUUGUCAGGACGGUGAACGGGAAGGAGGUCAUUGAUCGUGCGUUUAAGCCCAGACAGACCAUUGACGAUAUCAAAGCGUGGAUCUACUCUGAGUUGUGCAUUCUCCCGGACCAUCAGCAGCUCUCUGACCAGGGCGGCGCCCCCCUGGCUGAAGAGAUCUCUCGUUCGUGCACCCUUGUGUUGCAGAUCCGUCCUCCUGGUGGUCAAUGA
rnacentral:rRNA from 1 species